GUACAGUUGGACACCCAAUCAUCUUUCUGGAGUCUUUUCUCUACAUUUUCAUAACUGCUGACGUUUCCGACUAGGAAGUUGGAAUUUUCAGAAUAUGAAGAAAUAGGUUUAAAGGAACUGAUAUCAUCUAUGUCAAAGUUGAUUUUGUGACACCCCAAAAUUUAUACUAUUGAUACAAACUUAGGACAACUACACCCCAAAGUGAGCUAUUGAAGUUGAAGAGCCCAAUUCCAUAUAUACUCUAUAUUGAAAUCUCAUACUUUCAAUGAGACAUAAGUUUGAGAUGACAAUUGAGUCACCGGAUUAUUAAUCCUUGCCCUU
rnacentral:misc_RNA from 1 species